rnacentral:rRNA from 1 species
CACCAGCCCCUCGAGUGGUGGGGAUGAUUAUUUGGCCUAAAGCGUCCGUAGCCGGUCGGGUAAGUUUCCCGUUAAAUCCAAUGUCUCAAGCAUUGGACUGCGGGAAAUACUGCCUGGCUAGAGAGUGGGAGAGGUGUACGGUAUUCUGGGGGUAGGGGCGAAAUCCUUUGAUCCCCGGAGGACCACCAGUGGCGAAGGCUGUACACUAGAACACGUCUGACGGUCAGGGACGAAAGCUGGGGUAGCGAACCGGAUUAGAUACCCGGGUAGUCCCAGCUGUAAACGAUGCAUGCUAGGUGUUGGGUUGGCCACGAGCCACCCCAGUGCCGCAGGGAAGCCGUUAAGCAUGCCGCCUGGGAAGUACGAUCGCAAGAUUGAAACUUAAAGGAAUUGGCGGGGAGCACCACCAGGCGUGAAGCCUGCGGUUU